ACGGGAGGCAGCAGUGGGGAAUAUUGCACAAUGGGGGAAACCCUGAUGCAGCGACGCCGCGUGAGCGAUGAAGUAUUUCGGUAUGUAAAGCUCUAUCAGCAGGGAAGAUAAUGACGGUACCUGACUAAGAAGCUCCGGCUAAAUACGUGCCAGCAGCCGCGGUAAUACGUAUGGAGCAAGCGUUAUCCGGAUUUACUGGGUGUAAAGGGAGCGCAGGCGGUCUGGCAAGUCUGAUGUGAAAACCCGGGGCUCAACCCCGGGACUGCAUUGGAAACUGUCAGACUAGAGUGUCGGAGGGGUAAGUGGAAUUCCUAGUGUAGCGGUGAAAUGCGCAGAUAUUAGGAGGAACACCAGUGGCGAAGGCGGCUUACUGGACGACAACUGACGCUGAGGCUCGAAAGCGUGGGGAGCAAACAGGAUUAGAUACCCUGGUA
rnacentral:rRNA from 1 species